rnacentral:rRNA from 1 species
UACGGAGGGUGCAAGCGUUAAUCGGAAUUACUGGGCGUAAAGCGUGCGUAGGCGGCUAUGUAAGACAGAUGUGAAAUCCCUGGGCUUAACCUAGGAACUGCAUUUGUGACUGCAUUGCUAGAGUGUGGUAGAGGGAGAUGGAAUUCCGCAUGUAGCAGUGAAAUGCGUAGAUAUGCGGAGGAACACCAAUGGCGAAGGCAAUCUCCUGGACCUGCACUGACGCUCAUGCACGAAAGCGUGGGGAGCAAACAGG